UCAGCCGUGACCUAGUGGUUAAGGUAUCGCUUUCCCAUAGCUCUGAAUGUAUAAAGCGAAAACGUGAGUUCGAAUCUCGCUGGCGGCA